AACAAUUGGAGGGCGAGUCUGGUGCCAGCAGCCGCGGUAAUUCCAGCUCCAAUAGCGUAUAUUAAAGUUGUUGCAGUUAAAAAGCUCGUAGUUGAAUUUCGGGACCAAUAUGUCGGUCGUGCUUCGGUACGUACGUGCAUUAUUGGUUUCUCCCUUCUGAAGAACCAUGAUGUCAUUAAUUUGGUGUCUUGGGGAAUCAGGACUGUUACUUUGAAAAAAUUAGAGUGUUUAAAGCAGGCAUACGCUUGAAUACAUUAGCAUGGAAUAAUGGAAUAGGACGUUUGAUUCUAUUUUGUUGGUUUCUAGGAUCGACGUAAUGAUUAAUAGGGAUAGUUGGGGGCAUUAGUAUUCAAUUGUCAGAGGUGAAAUUCUUGGAUUUAUUGAAGACUAACUACUGCGGAAGCAUUUGCCAAGGAUGUUUUCAUUAAUCAAGAACGAAAGUUAGGGGAU
rnacentral:rRNA from 1 species